UACGUAGGGUGCAAGCGUUGUCCGGAAUUAUUGGGCGUAAAGAGCUUGUAGGCGGUUUGUCGCGUCUGCUGUGAAAUUUCGGGGUUCAACCCCGAACUUGCAGUGGGUACGGGCAGACUAGAGUGUGGUAGGGGAGACUGGAAUUCCUGGUGUAGCGGUGAAAUGCGCAGAUAUCAGGAGGAACACCGAUGGCGAAGGCAGGUCUCUGGGCCACUACUGACGCUGAGAAGCGAAAGCAUGGGGAGCGAACAGG
rnacentral:rRNA from 1 species